rnacentral:rRNA from 1 species
CUGAGUACGGCGGAACACGUGAAAUUCCGUCGGAAUCCGGGAGGACCAUCUCCCAAGGCUAAAUACUCCCUAGUGACCGAUAGUGAACCAGUACCGUGAGGGAAAGGUGAAAAGCACCCCGGAAGGGGAGUGAAACAGUUCCUGAAACCGUGUGCCUACAAGUAGUUAGAGCCCGUUAAUGGGUGAUAGCGUGCCUUUUGUAGAAUGAACCGGCGAGUUACGAUUUGUUGCAAGGUUAAGCGGAAAAAGCGGAGCCGUAGCGAAAGCGAGUCUGAAUAGGGCGCAUAAGUAACAGGUCGUAGACCCGAAACCAGGUGAUCUACCCAUGUCCAGGAUGAAGGUAAGGUAAUACUUACUGGAGGUCCGAACCCACGCACGUUGAAAAGUGCGGGGAUGAGGUGUGGGUAGCGGAGAAAUUCCAAUCGAACUUGGAGAUAGCUGGUUCUCUCCGAAAUAGCUUUAGGGCUAGCCUCGAGGUAAAGAGUCAUGGAGGUAGAGCACUGUU